GACGAACGCUGGCGGCGUGCCUAAUACAUGCAAGUAGAACGCAGUUGCGAACGGGUGAGUAACGCGUAGGUAACUGCCUCAUAGCGGGGGAUAACUAUUGGAAACGAUAGCUAAUACCGCAUACUGUGAGAUGGACCUGCGGUGUAUUAGCGAGUUGGUGAGGUAAAGGCUCACCAAGGCGACGAUACAUAGCCGACCUGAGAGGGUGGUCCGGCACCCUGGGACUGGCGCCCCGCCCCGGCCCCUACCGGAGGCCGCCGUAGGGGAUCUUCGGCAAUGGGCGGAAGUCUUGCCGGGCAACGCCGCGUGAGUGAAGGAGGGUUUCGGGUCCUUAAUCUCUGUUGUUAGAGAAGCGGUACCUAACCAGAAAGGGACGGCUAACUACGUGCCAGCAGCCGCGGUAAUAC
rnacentral:rRNA from 1 species